GGAGUUGUAGCUCAGUGGUAGAGCACUUCCUUAGCAGGUAUGAGGCACUGGGUUCAAUUCUCAGCACUGCA
rnacentral:tRNA from 1 species